AGGGCCAUCGUGACCCGGUCUACCACCGGGAUGUUCAUAACCCUUUGUUGUCCGACUCUGUUGCCUCCGGGGCGACCCUGCCUUCGGGCGGGGGCUCCGGGUGGACACUUCAAACUCUUGCGUAACUUUGCAGUCUGAGUAAACUUAAUUAAUAAAUUAAAACUUUUAACAACGGAUCUCUUGGUUCUGGCAUCGAUGAAGAACGCAGCGAAAUGCGAUAAGUAAUGUGAAUUGCAGAAUUCAGUGAAUCAUCGAAUCUUUGAACGCACAUUGCGCCCCCUGGUAUUCCGGGGGGCAUGCCUGUUCGAGCGUCAUUUCACCACUCAAGCCUCGCUUGGUAUUGGGCAACGCGGUCCGCCGCGUGCCUCAAAUCGACCGGCUGGGUCUUCUGUCCCCUAAGCGUUGUGGAAACUAUUCGCUAAAGGGUGCUCGGGAGGCUACGCCGUAAAACAAACCCAUUUCUAAGGUUGACCUCGGAUCAGGUAGGGAUACCCGCUGAACUUAAGCAUAUCAU
rnacentral:rRNA from 1 species